rnacentral:misc_RNA from 1 species
GUGAAGAACGUAGCGAAAUGCGAUACGUAAUGUGAAUUGCAGAAUUCAGUGAAUCAUCGAGUCUUUGAACGCACAUUGCGCCCUCUGGUAUUCCGGAGGGCAUGCCUGUCCGAGCGUCAUUGCUGCCCUCAAGCACGGCUUGUGUGUUGGGCCCCGCCCCCCGAUCCCGGGGGGCGGGCCCGAAAGGCAGCGGCGGCACCGCGUCCGGUCCUCGAGCGUAUGGGGCUUUGUCACCCGCUCUGUAGGCCCGGCCGGCGCUUGCCGAUCAACCAAACUUUUUUCCAGGUUGACCUCGGAUCAGGUAGGGAUACCCGCUGAACUUAAGCAUAUCAAUAAGCGGAGGA